rnacentral:rRNA from 1 species
CCCUUAGAUGUUCUGGGCCGCACGCGCGCUACACUGAAUGGAUCAACGUGUUUUCCCUUCCCGAGAGGGACGGGUAACCCGCUGAACCCCAUUCGUGGUAGGGAUCGGAGCUUGCAAUUGUUCUCCGUGAACCAGGAAUUCCCAGUAAGCGCAAGUCAUAAGCUUGCGUUGAUUACGUCCCUGCCCUUUGUACACACCGCCCGUCGCACCUACCGAUUGAAUGGUCCGGUGAAUUCUUCGGACUGUGGCUUUGGAUCGGUUUCGGCCGAGACGCUGCCGUGGGAAGUUGUUUAAACCUUACCAUUUAGAGGAAGGUGAAGUCGUANCA